GAUGAACGCUGGCGGCGUGCCUAAUACAUGCAAGUCGAGCGAACAGACGAGGAGCUUGCUCCUCUGACGUUAGCGGCGGACGGGUGAGUAACACGUGGAUAACCUACCUAUAAGACUGGGAUAACUUCGGGAAACCGGAGCUAAUACCGGAUAACAUGUUGAACCGCAUGGUUUAACAGUGAAAGACGGUCUUGAUGUCACUUAUAGAUGGAUCCGCGCCGCAUUAGCUAGUUGGUAAGGUAACGGCUUACCAAGGCAACGAUGCGUAGACGACCUGAGAGGGUGAUCGGCCACACUGGAACUGAGACACGGUCCAGACUCCUACGGGAGGCAGCAGUAGGGAAUCUUCCGCAAUGGGCGAAAGCCUGACGGAGCAACGCCGCGUGAGUGAAGAAGGUCUUCGGAUCGUAAAACUCUGUUAUUAGGGAAGAACAAAUGUGUAAGUAACUAUGCACGUCUUGACGGUACCUAAUCAGAAAGCCACGGCUAACUACGUG
rnacentral:rRNA from 1 species